rnacentral:rRNA from 1 species
GGUUAAGCGACUAAGCGUACACGGUGGAUGCCCUGGCAGUCAGAGGCGAUGAAGGACGUGCUAAUCUGCGAUAAGCGUCGGUAAGGUGAUAUGAACCGUUAUAACCGGCGAUUUCCGAAUGGGGAAACCCAGUGUGUUUCGACACACUAUCAUUAACUGAAUCCAUAGGUUAAUGAGGCGAACCGGGGGAACUGAAACAUCUAAGUACCCCGAGGAAAAGAAAUCAACCGAGAUUCCCCCAGUAGCGGCGAGCGAACGGGGAGCAGCCCAGAGCCUGAAUCAGUGUGUGUGUUAGUGGAAGCGUCUGGAAAGGCGCGCGAUACAGGGUGACAGCCCCGUACACAAAAAUGCACAUGCUGUGAGCUCGAUGAGUAGGGCGGGACACGUGGUAUCCUGUCUGAAUAUGGGGGGACCAUCCUCCAAGGCUAAAUACUCCUGACUGACCGAUAGUGAACCAGUACCGUGAGGGAAAGGCGAAAAGAACCCCGGCGAGGGGAGUGAAAAAGAACCUGAAACCGUGUACGUACAAGCAGUGGGAGCACGCUUCGGCGUGUGACUGCGUACCUUUUGUAUAAUGGGUCAGCGACUUAUAUUCUGUAGCAAGGUUAACCGAAUAGGGGAGCCGAAGGGAAACCGAGUCUUAACUGGGCGUUAAGUUGCAGGGUAUAGACCCGAAACCCGGUGAUCUAGCCAUGGGCAGGUUGAAGGUUGGGUAACACUAACUGGAGGACCGAACCGACUAAUGUUGAAAAAUUAGCGGAUGACUUGUGGCUGGGGGUGAAAGGCCAAUCAAACCGGGAGAUAGCUGGUUCUCCCCGAAAGCUAUUUAGGUAGCGCCUCGUGAAUUCAUCUCCGGGGGUAGAGCACUGUUUCGGCAAGGGGGUCAUCCCGACUUACCAACCCGAUGCAAACUGCGAAUACCGGAGAAUGUUAUCACGGGAGACACACGGCGGGUGCUAACGUCCGUCGUGAAGAGGGAAACAACCCAGACCGCCAGCUAAGGUCCCAAAGUCAUGGUUAAGUGGGAAACGAUGUGGGAAGGCCCAGACAGCCAGGAUGUUGGCUUAGAAGCAGCCAUCAUUUAAAGAAAGCGUAAUAGCUCACUGGUCGAGUCGGCCUGCGCGGAAGAUGUAACGGGGCUAAACCAUGCACCGAAGCUGCGGCAGCGACACUAUGUGUUGUUGGGUAGGGGAGCGUUCUGUAAGCCUGUGAAGGUGUGCUGUGAGGCAUGCUGGAGGUAUCAGAAGUGCGAAUGCUGACAUAAGUAACGAUAAAGCGGGUGAAAAGCCCGCUCGCCGGAAGACCAAGGGUUCCUGUCCAACGUUAAUCGGGGCAGGGUGAGUCGACCCCUAAGGCGAGGCCGAAAGGCGUAGUCGAUGGGAAACAGGUUAAUAUUCCUGUACUUGGUGUUACUGCGAAGGGGGGACGGAGAAGGCUAUGUUGGCCGGGCGACGGUUGUCCCGGUUUAAGCGUGUAGGCUGGUUUUCCAGGCAAAUCCGGAAAAUCAAGGCUGAGGCGUGAUGACGAGGCACUACGGUGCUGAAGCAACAAAUGCCCUGCUUCCAGGAAAAGCCUCUAAGCAUCAGGUAACAUCAAAUCGUACCCCAAACCGACACAGGUGGUCAGGUAGAGAAUACCAAGGCGCUUGAGAGAACUCGGGUGAAGGAACUAGGCAAAAUGGUGCCGUAACUUCGGGAGAAGGCACGCUGAUAUGUAGGUGAAGUCCCUCGCGGAUGGAGCUGAAAUCAGUCGAAGAUACCAGCUGGCUGCAACUGUUUAUUAAAAACACAGCACUGUGCAAACACGAAAGUGGACGUAUACGGUGUGACGCCUGCCCGGUGCCGGAAGGUUAAUUGAUGGGGUUAGCCGCAAGGCGAAGCUCUUGAUCGAAGCCCCGGUAAACGGCGGCCGUAACUAUAACGGUCCUAAGGUAGCGAAAUUCCUUGUCGGGUAAGUUCCGACCUGCACGAAUGGCGUAAUGAUGGCCAGGCUGUCUCCACCCGAGACUCAGUGAAAUUGAACUCGCUGUGAAGAUGCAGUGUACCCGCGGCAAGACGGAAAGACCCCGUGAACCUUUACUAUAGCUUGACACUGAACAUUGAGCCUUGAUGUGUAGGAUAGGUGGGAGGCUUUGAAGUGUGGACGCCAGUCUGCAUGGAGCCGACCUUGAAAUACCACCCUUUAAUGUUUGAUGUUCUAACGUUGACCCGUAAUCCGGGUUGCGGACAGUGUCUGGUGGGUAGUUUGACUGGGGCGGUCUCCUCCUAAAGAGUAACGGAGGAGCACGAAGGUUGGCUAAUCCUGGUCGGACAUCAGGAGGUUAGUGCAAUGGCAUAAGCCAGCUUGACUGCGAGCGUGACGGCGCGAGCAGGUGCGAAAGCAGGUCAUAGUGAUCCGGUGGUUCUGAAUGGAAGGGCCAUCGCUCAACGGAUAAAAGGUACUCCGGGGAUAACAGGCUGAUACCGCCCAAGAGUUCAUAUCGACGGCGGUGUUUGGCACCUCGAUGUCGGCUCAUCACAUCCUGGGGCUGAAGUAGGUCCCAAGGGUAUGGCUGUUCGCCAUUUAAAGUGGUACGCGAGCUGGGUUUAGAACGUCGUGAGACAGUUCGGUCCCUAUCUGCCGUGGGCGCUGGAGAACUGAGGGGGGCUGCUCCUAGUACGAGAGGACCGGAGUGGACGCAUCACUGGUGUUCGGGUUGUCAUGCCAAUGGCACUGCCCGGUAGCUAAAUGCGGAAGAGAUAAGUGCUGAAAGCAUCUAAGCACGAAACUUGCCCCGAGAUGAGUUCUCCCUGACCCUUUAAGGGUCCUGAAGGAACGUUGAAGACGACGACGUUGAUAGGCCGGGUGUGUAAGCGCAGCGAUGCGUUGAGCUAACCGGUACUAAUGAACCGUGAGGCUUAACCUU